rnacentral:rRNA from 1 species
GGGCCCGCACAAGCGGUGGAGCAUGUGGUUUAAUUCGAUGAUACGCGAGGAACCUUACCAGGGCUUAAAUGGGAAAUGACAGGGGCAGAGACGCCCCCUUCUUCGGACAUUUUUCAAGGUGCUGCAUGGUUGUCGUCAGCUCGUGCCGUGAGGUGUCAGGUUAAGUCCUAUAACGAGCGCAACCCCUACCGUUAGUUGCCAGCGUGUAAUGACGGGGACUCUAACGGAACUGCCGGUGCAAACCGUGAGGAAGGUGGGGACGACGUCAAAUCAUCACGGCCCUUACGUCCUGGCCACACACGUGCUACAAUGGUAUCUACAACAGGAAGCAAAAACAGCGAUGUUAAG